rnacentral:rRNA from 1 species
UACGUAGGGUGCAAGCGUUAAUCGGAAUUACUGGGCGUAAAGCGUGCGCAGGCGGCUUUGCAAGACAGAUGUGAAAUCCCCGGGCUUAACCUGGGAACUGCAUUUGUGACUGCAUGGCUGGAGUGCGGCAGAGGGGGAUGGAAUUCCGCGUGUAGCAGUGAAAUGCGCAGAUAUCAGGAAGAACACCCGUGGCUAAGGCGGCUCUCUAGUACGGUACUGACGCUGAGACGCGAAAAGCGUGGGGAGCGAACAGG